AGAGCCCGUGAAUCUGGGCGGCGGAAUUCAGGAUGGCUGGCGCGUCUUCGCGGCGCGUCGGCCGUUUGAUAUUUCCGUCGCCGAUCACCCGCAGACGUCGCGACCUGUUCGCGGUCGGUCCCUGCUCGGAGGAGCCGCGUUCGAGUUCGUUGCGUGCGCGUUUCGGCGUGUCACGCGGCGAAGGCGCGGAUCUCUGGCUGGCCGUCGGACAGUAUGCUCAGCGGUGUCCGGUGUCGUCGUCUCGUACGCGCGUGCACCGGUACCGGUCAGCGACGAAUUCUUCGGGCCUCUUUCC
rnacentral:rRNA from 1 species